rnacentral:lncRNA from 1 species
GAAGUUCAGCAUGGUUAGCCAUCAGUUGAGCAUUGAUCUCGGCUUGUGUUGGUGCUCCGUUUAGAUCUCCCAUGUCGCCUGCGACAAAAGAGGAAGAAAGAAAAGUGAUCUGCAAGGGAUCAAAGAAAAAGGAGGAAGAUACCUAAAUAGGUAUGCAAUUGAAUGUUAAACUUCCUUUUUUUUUUUUUUUAAAGUUUUCGAAAAUUAAAAUAUGGAAAGUAUAAUCUUCCCUUUUUUUUUUUUUUUUUUUUAAAUUUGGAAAAACUUGGAGUGCAAUCCAAGGAAAUAUUAAAUGCAAUUAAAUAGAAAUCCGAA